UGGCUCAGGAUGAACGCUGGCGGUAUGCUUAACACAUGCAAGUCGAACGGUCUUUUCGGAGAUAGUGGCGGACGGGUGAGUAACGCGUGAGAAUCCGCAUUCAGGUCGGGGACAACCACUGGAAACGGUGGCUAAUACCGGAUGUGCCGAGAGGUAAAAGGCUUGCCGCCUGGAAAUGAGCUCGCGUCUGAUUAGCUAGUAGGUGUGGUAAAGGCGCACCUAGGCGACGAUCAGUAGCUGGUCUGAGAGGAUGAUCAGCCACACUGGGACUGAGACACGGCCCAGACUCCUACGGGAGGCAGCAGUAGGGAAUUUUCCGCAAUGGGCGAAAGCAUGACGGAGCAAUACCGCGUGAGGGAGGAAGGCUCUUGGGUUGUAAACCUCUUUUCUCAGGGAAGAAGAUCUGACGGUACCUGAGGAAUAAGCAUCGGCUAACUCCGUGCCAGCAGCCGCGGUAAUACGGAGGAUGCAAGCGUUAUCCGGAAUGAUUGGGCGUAAAGGGUCCGCAGGUGGCUAUGUAAGUCUGCUGUUAAAGAAUGAGGCUUAACCUCAUCAGAGCAGUGGAAACUACACAGCUAGAGUGCGUUCGGGGGUAGAGGGAAUUCCUGGUGUAGCGGUGAAAUGCGUAGAUAUCAGGAAGAACACCAGUGGCGAAAGCGCUCUACUAGGCCGCAACUGACACUGAGGGACGAAAGCUAGGGGAGCGAAUGGGAUUAGAUACCCCAGUAGUCCUAGCCGUAAACGAUGGAUACUAGGCGUGGCUUGUAUCGACCCGAGCCGUGCCGGAGCUAACGCGUUAAGUAUCCCGCCUGGGGAGUACGCACGCAAGUGUGAAACUCAAAGGAAUUGACGGGGGCCCGCACAAGCGGUGGAGUAUGUGGUUUAAUUCGAUGCAACGCGAAGAACCUUACCAAGACUUGACAUGUCGCGAAUCCUGCCGAAAGGUGGGAGUGCCUUCGGGAGCGCGAACACAGGUGGUGCAUGGCUGUCGUCGGCUCGUGUCGUGAGAUGUUGGGUUAAGUCCCGCAACGAGCGCAACCCUCGUUUUUAGUUGCCAGCAUGAAGAUGGGCACUCUAGAGAGACUGCCGGUGACAAACCGGAGGAAGGUGGGGAUGACGUCAAGUCAGCAUGCCCCUUACGUCUUGGGCUACACACGUACUACAAUGCUACGGACAAAGGGCAGCGACACAGCGAUGUGAAGCAAAUCUCAUAAACCGUAGCUCAGUUCAGAUCGCAGGCUGCAACUCGCCUGCGUGAAGUAGGAAUCGCUAGUAAUUGCAGGUCAGCAUACUGCAGUGAAUUCGUUCCCGGGCCUUGUACACACCGCCCGUCACACCAUGGAAGCUGGUCACGCCCGAAGUCGUUACCCCAAC
rnacentral:rRNA from 1 species